CGCACUAGUCUCCAUCCACUAUAUAUAUAUUUAAUUCGACAGUACUCACUCUCUAUUUGUGAGUGUGCACGCGGACGUGUACAUGUCGUAGUAAAACGGUACAUAUGGUGCAAAUGGUGGGUCACUCUCAACACUAUUGUAAAGCUUUCUUGUGUGUGCAUGUGUCAACAACUGGCUAGUUCUAAUAAAUCUACGUCGAAUUCAAUAUUAAUCAAGUUUCUAUUUAUGAAUGUAUAUAUAUUAUAUAUAGCGAUGAAUGAUAUAUUGCUGAAAGGCAAUAAUUCAGAUGAAAGUGUUAAUUAAUUUGAGAAAACGAU